CUGAGAAGGGUUUUCAAAAAUCACGGAUUCAGAUGCGCAAUUGCGCUUGUGAAUGUGCACGUGUCAGCGGAUUAAUAUUAACUAUGAUAGUAUUUCAGUCCAUUCUUGUUGUCAUAGUGCUUGUCGAGACUUGGGCGCAGCACAGCAAUGCUUCGCUUUUGUUUGCCUGAGAAAUUGGACUGUGGAGAGUUGACUCUGGACAAGCGGUAUUCGUUUAAUAAUCAGAUGUUCUUUCCUGUUUGAGAGUUUUAGUUAACGGCCCUGUUUGGCCUAGCGUUUAUUGUUUUACUUCCCCUUGAACGCCGUUCGCAUUAAAGUUUUGUGAACUAUCGACCCGUUUCAGUGUCUCUCAUUUCGCAACUUGGGCCGUAUCCGAACCUGCUGACAAAGGCAUGAAUUAGCUGAGGUCGCGGCUACCAAGCAGAAUCAAGGAACUAUGAGGAGGGGACACCAAGCAUGGGGCUGAGCUCCAAGCAAACUGGAUAACAACAGAACGGAGGAUUCCUGAUAAGUACAUUUUCCCCUCUGGCACUGAGCGGAUGUUGGAGACUGCUCGCCUUGGAUCGCUGAAUUAUUGAGCAAAACUUCCCAACAUGGUGCUGUUGGAAUCAUAUCUGAUUAGGGAUGUGCUUGAGGGAAUUCUCUACAUAAUGGAUGUCUUCAUUGGGAAGACAAGCUGUCCAGCUGUUAGAGCUGGAGUGAACGGAGAAGACUGCAAGAUCGUUCAAAGCACUGGAGCAUCCGAGUUCUUCAUGUGCCACUUUGUGCUUUGGUCCGUUCCUCCUUCUAAAGAGCAAACAACUCUGAAACAAAGCUGUGUGAAAAUGAAUAUCUAACGCUUACGGCCUGCAAGACCACCGCCGGGAAUGCAAGAAGAAGUCUGAG